rnacentral:miRNA from 1 species
CAUUUUUAAAAUCAGCUCUUGAGUAGCCGAUUUUAAAAGUAACUUUUAAAAAUCGGCUAUUUAAGAACUGAUUUUAAAAGUU